rnacentral:rRNA from 1 species
GUGGGGAAUAUUGGGCAAUGGGGGCAACCCUGACCCAGCGACGCCGCGUGGGGGAAGACGGCCUUCGGGUUGUAAACCUCUUUUGUACGGGAAGAAGGAAGUGACGGUACUGUACGAAUAAGUCCCGGCUAACUACGUGCCAGCAGCCGCGGUAAUACGUAGGGGACGAGCGUUGUCCGGAAUUACUGGGCGUAAAGGGCGCGCAGGCUGUGCUGCAAGUCAGCUGUUAAAUGUCUGGGCUUAACCCGGGCAUGCGGUUGAGACUGCAGUGCUGGAGUGCUAUAGAGGCAAGUGGAAUUCCCAGUGUAGCGGUGAAAUGCGUAGAUAUUGGGAAGAACACCGGUGGCGAAGGCGACUUGCUGGGCAGCAACUGACGCUGAGGCGCGAAAGCCGGGGGAGCUAACGGGAUUAGAUACCCUUGUAGUCC